rnacentral:tRNA from 1 species
UGGGGUAUGGUGUAAUUGGCAGCACGAGUGAUUCUGGUUCACUUAGUCUAGGUUCGAGUCCUGGUACCCCAGCGCCCCUAUCGUCUAGCGGCCUAGGACAUCGCCCUCUCACGGCGGUAACACCGGUUCAAAUCCGGUUGGGGGUACUG